rnacentral:rRNA from 1 species
AACGAACGCUGGCGGCAGGCUUAACACAUGCAAGUCGAGCGCCCCGCCAGGGGAGCGGCAGCCGGGUGAGUAGCGCGGGGGAACGUACCUAUUGGUUCGGAACAACUCCGGGAAACUGGAGCUACUACCGGAAAAGCGCUCACGUGGAAAGAUUUAUCGCCGAAAGCUCGGACCGCGUCUGAUUAGCUAGUUGGCUAGGUAACGGCUCACCAAGGCGACGAUCAGUAGCUGGUCUGAGAGGAUGAUCAGCCACACUGGGACUGAGACACGGCACAGACUCUUACGGGAGGCAGCAGUGGGGAAUAUUGGACAAUGGGCGCAAGCCUGAUCCAGCCAUGCCGCGUGAGUGAUGAAGGCCUUAGGGUUGUAAAGCGCUUUUGUCCGGGAAGAUAAUGACGGUACCUGAAGAAUAAGCCCCGGCUAACUUCGUG